GACAAAACUGGUUCCCGUACGAUCACCGAGGUUAAGCAAAGUCAAGUCUGGUAAGUACCUUGAUGAGUGACCGCUUGGGAAUACCAGUUGAUGUAAG